UUUGUCCUACGGGGGGCAGCAGUGAGGAAUAUUGGUCAAUGGACGAGAGUCUGAACCAGCCAAGUAGCGUGAAGGAUGACUGCCCUAUGGGUUGUAAACUUCUUUUAUAUGGGAAUAAAACAGGGUAUGCAUACCCUCUUGUAUGUACCAUAUGAAUAAGGAUCGGCUAACUCCGUGCCAGCAGCCGCGGUAAUACGGAGGAUCCGAGCGUUAUCCGGAUUUAUUGGGUUUAAAGGGUGCGUAGGCGGAAUGCCAAGUCAGCGGUAAAAUCGCGGGGCUCAACCUCGCUCCGCCGUUGAAACUGG
rnacentral:rRNA from 1 species